rnacentral:rRNA from 1 species
GAUGAACGCUGGCGGCGUGCCUAAUACAUGCAAGUCGAGCGAACAGAUGAGGAGCUUGCUCCUCUGACGUUAGCGGCGGACGGGUGAGUAACACGUGGAUAACCUACCUAUAAGACUGGGAUAACUUCGGGAAACCGGAGCUAAUACCGGAUAAUAUAUUGAACCGCAUGGUUCAAUAGUGAAAGACGGUUUUGCUGUCACUUAUAGAUGGAUCCGCGCCGCAUUAGCUAGUUGGUAAGGUAACGGCUUACCAAGGCAACGAUGCGUAGCCGACCUGAGAGGGUGAUCGGCCACACUGGAACUGAGACACGGUCCAGACUCCUACGGGAGGCAGCAGUAGGGAAUCUUCCGCAAAGGGCGAAAGCCUGACGGAGCAACGCCGCGUGAGUGAUGAAGGUCUUCGGAUCGUAAAACUCUGUUAUUAGGGAAGAACAAAUGUGUAAGUAACUAUGCACGUCUUGACGGUACCUAAUCAGAAAGCCACGGCUAACUACGUU